UACGUAGGGGGCAAGCGUUAUCCGGAUUUACUGGGUGUAAAGGGAGCGUAGACGGCGAUGCAAGCCAGAUGUGAAAGCCCGGGGCUCAACCCCGGGACUGCAUUUGGAACUGUGUGGCUGGAGUGCCGGAGAGGCAAGUGGAAUUCCUAGUGUAGCGGUGAAAUGCGUAGAUAUUAGGAGGAACACCAGUGGCGAAGGCGGCUUGCUGGACGAUGACUGACGUUGAGGCUCGAAAGCGUGGGGAGCAAACAGG
rnacentral:rRNA from 1 species